GAUCAUGGCUCAGGAUGAACGCUGGCGGCGUGCCUAAUACAUGCAAGUAGAACGCUGAAGCUUGGUGCUUGCACCGAGCGGAUGAGUUGCGAACGGGUGAGUAACGCGUAGGUAACCUACCUCUUAGCGGGGGAUAACUAUUGGAAACGAUAGCUAAUACCGCAUAAAAGUCGGCAUUGCAUGAUGUUGACUUGAAAGGUGCAAAUGCAUCACUGAGAGAUGGG
rnacentral:rRNA from 1 species